GAUCCUGGCUCAGGGUGAACGCUGGCGGUAGGCCUAACACAUGCAAGUCGAACGGCAGCACAGAGGAGCUUGCUCCUUGGGUGGCGAGUGGCGGACGGGUGAGGAAUACAUCGGAAUCUACUCUGUCGUGGGGGAUAACGUAGGGAAACUUACGCUAAUACCGCAUACGACCUACGGGUGAAAGCAGGGGAUCUUCGGACCUUGCGCGAUUGAAUGAGCCGAUGUCGGAUUAGCUAGUUGGCGGGUAAAG
rnacentral:rRNA from 1 species